rnacentral:snRNA from 1 species
GUGCUCGCUUCGGCAGCACAUAUACUAAAAACAAAUUGGAACGAUACAGAGAAGCUUAGGCAUGGCCUCUACACAAGGAUGACAUGCAAAUUAGUGAAGCAUUCAAUAUUUAA